CUUGUUUGGGUCCCCCCCACCCCGGAGAGUCCUCGGUCCCAUUUUUCUCCAGUCCGGAGUGCGGAUGAAGCUUGAAGCCCUAAGACGCACGAUUCGAGUGGACCACAAUCAAGUUAGAGACGGUGCAUCUCUGGCAGCCAAUCAGCGUGGCCCUACAAUAUUGCCGGAAGACAGCGGGCUAAAUUGAAGUCAACACACAACUUGAACGGAAUUUGUGACUGUUUCGAAGUUAUAACAAGGAAUCGGUGUAACGAGCAAACAGGCCGUUAAUUUGGGCAAUGAAGCUGGCAAGCCAAAUACUGUACAAGAGAAAUUACACACAUUCUCGACAGUGUCAGCAUCAAACUCUCAUGACGGCGGCUGAGGUUAAAGUGCUUAUCAAUGGCUGCAAGAGGGAGAGAAACCAGCGUAGGAAACAAAGUGUGACCUGUGGAGACCAGGUGCUGGGCAAACAAGCGUGGUAAUUACACACCUGUGUGAUGCUGUAAGGGAAAAUGUGUGUGUGUGGAGCCCUCGUCGUGAGGACGGCAGGCAGUCCCUACAGACGUGAGCUCACCAUCAUGGGGACGAAGGGUGUGGCCAAGCCUGUGGCCCUGAUGUUGCCGUGGAGACAAGACACACACACACACACACACACGCACGCACACACACAGAUUGGCUUAGAGUGACACCGCAGGGAAAUUAAAACAGCAGCUCAAAGCCCCUAGGCGUUUCAUUGGCCAAUCAUUCUGGGUUUUGUUGACAAGUGUGGGUCUGUGUGUGUUUGUGUGUGUCCCCC